AGCACAAUAAAAGUAAAAGUGGCUCCACACUGCCCUCAAGAAAUUUACAUCUAAUGAGGGGGAAAGUAGACACAAAUUGCUGCUCCAGGGUGAGGACAUAAGGAAACAGGCUCUUGCAGGCGUUGUUGGUCUUUCAGCUGGAGGGGUGCUGCUCCGAUGUGGACCUCUGGUGUUCCCAGCCUGGGCUGCAUGGUGAGCCCUUGCAGAUAAAGCUGUGGCUCUGUUAAAUCCCUUGGCCUUGCUCCCCAGUGAAAGAUGUUUACUUUCACUCCUGGAUAUGACCUGCCAGCGUGGAAAUUAAUCACUGAUUUUUUUCAGAUUGGGGAAUAUGGAAGCUACAGAGUGAUUUCUCUCUGUAAACUGUAUUUACUUUGGGAAGUCCUGGCCCAGCUCUUAGCACUAUGGCUUUAUAUGGACAUUAAUGAACGUUCCGGAGCCUGGAGUCCAAGCAACUUCAGGCCUAGGUAACAGAAAGUCCAACUAGGCUCUCACUCAAAGGAUACUUCUAAUUCCAUGAAUAUUAGGUGACACUGCAACUGCCUAAAUCAACAAGACAAGAUGUCAUUAGAAUUAUAAACAAGUUACUCAACAUUUGGUUAUCAAAAAUAAAACUGAAUCUUAAUCAUUUCAUUUCAAAAAGACCACUCAACAGAUUUGCUGCUUGAAGGAGAACAAACCAAUGGGUCAUGCUGCUUCCCCUCUCUAGGCUGCUGAAGUAUAUGAAUGGAAAAGGAUUAGGACUGGUGCUUCGUUUCUUGCCAGACUUUUGAUGACUCCUUGAAUUAUAUUUUCUAUAGAUGCAAGAACCUCAGAACUAAAACAGUAAACAUAUUGACCUUUUUAAUUAUAGCAUAUUUAUUAGGCAAAGUAAUUUCAAAUGACCUCAACUCGAUCUUACUUAAUUUCCAUACAAUUUGUGAUCUUAAUCAUUAUGCUUCUGGAAGGAUGACUAAAUUGCACAG